CUCCGAUCAAAGUCGCAGUUGCGGUCCUCAAAUACGGUGAGCUUUUCCUUCUCCUUCUUUCUGUUUACCGAUACCCGUCGGCGGAUCCCCGUCUGCAAUUUGCAGCAAAAUUGAUACGAUCUGGUCCCUAGGUUUUAGGACUUGGAUUCACCAUCAAUAUAUAAGAGGUUUCGAGCAUUAGCAGAUCAGCUUUUCCACAAUCCUGAUUAUCAUAAGCAUGUGAGUAAGGCAGUUGUAAACUUAAACAUUUGAAGAAACAUUAUGAAGGCUGUGUUCCCAUGGAGUCCAAGAAGUACCUGAAAAUAAUGAAAAGGUUUUGGCUUCUUAAUCGUGUCUUCCUCUUUAAUUUGUAAUCCAAAAGUUCAUCAUUGUUACUAACCUUAAAUCUUUUCUUUUUGGAGAAUGGGAAGAUCACUUGACCCUACAAACAGUUGCAGACCGAGUAAUUUUGAAUUGAACUGUUCAUUCUCUGCUUCCUGAUUUAGAACAGGCUUAUAGGCAUUUAGUCUGCCCAAUAGCUGAUGUGCCAGAUUUUUUUUUGUGCAAUUAUUGUAUGUGUAUAUGUAUAUUCUUCUUCUAAACUAUGCUUGUAGUAUGAAGUGCAUCAAAGUUCUUCUCC